rnacentral:rRNA from 1 species
AUUGAACGCUGGCGGCAGGCCUAACACAUGCAAGUCGAGCGGAUGAAGGGAGCUUGCUCCUGGAUUCAGCGGCGGACGGGUGAGUAAUGCCUAGGAAUCUGCCUGGUAGUGGGGGAUAACGUCCGGAAACGGGCGCUAAUACCGCAUACGUCCUGAGGGAGAAAGUGGGGGAUCUUCGGACCUCACGCUAUCAGAUGAGCCUAGGUCGGAUUAGCUAGUUGGUGGGGUAAAGGCCUACCAAGGCGACGAUCCGUAACUGGUCUGAGAGGAUGAUCAGUCACACUGGAACUGAGACACGGUCCAGACUCCUACGGGAGGCAGCAGUGGGGAAUAUUGGACAAUGGGCGAAAGCCUGGUCCAGCCAUGCCGCGUGUGUGAAGAAGGUCUUCGGAUUGUAAAGCACUUUAAGUUGGGAGGAAGAGCAGUAAGUUAAUACCUUGCUGUUUUGACGUUACCAACAGAAUAAGCACCGGCUAACUUCGUG